AGUUGGAGACAGUUUGGGAUGGACCAUUCCUCCCAGCAACUCUGUUGGGUACUACGAGGACUGGGCUAGCAACUAGACAUUUCAGAUUGGGGACUCUGUUGGUAAGCAUUACUUCAUUAUUCUAGCUUUUUGCUUUCUGUCCAAACUGAGAAAUAGGCAUAUACGCAUCACCAGGCUAAGCUAUAUGUAUGUAUUUCUCAGUGUUCAACUGGAAUGGGACACACACUGCAACUGAAGUAUUCAGCGAAGAGAAAUAUGAAAAUUGCACCAAGACAGGAUUGGAGAUACUGACGAGCGGAGUUUCUGUUCUUCUUAAUGCAAAUGGGACCCGAUACUUUGUGUGCUCCGUUGGCACCCACUGCGAGCAAGGUAUGAAGGUGGCGAUCAAAGUUGGAAAUGGGAUACCACCACCACCACCACCCUCAGCAGCUCCUACCCUUCCCGUUGGCUCCUUGGCUGCUGUCAUCUCCUCCAUAUUCAUACUCUUCUUCAGUUACAUGUAAAUGGCCAGGUCCAUACAGAUGUGGCCUUGUAUUUCUUUGAUUGGGUGUGACUGAUUCUAGUUGCGAGCCUUUUCCAGUCUGCCUUAUCCUCCACAUGCAUAAACUUAAUAGGUUAAUUAUAUAUAUGUAUAUAUAGUUGAAUAAUCCCCUUCACUCAUUUAUGUAUAUAUAGUUGAAUAAUCCCCUUCACUCAUU
rnacentral:misc_RNA from 1 species